UACGUAGGGGGCAAGCGUUGUCCGGAAUCAUUGGGCGUAAAGAGCGCGUAGGCGGCCCUGUAAGUCCGCUGUGAAAGUCAAGGGCUCAACCCUUGGAUGCCGGUGGAUACUGCAGGGCUAGAGUCCGGAAGAGGUUGGUGGAACUGCGAGUGUAGAGGUGAAAUUCGUAGAUAUUCGCAAGAACACCAGUGGCGAAGGCGGCCAACUGGUCCGAUACUGACGCUGAGGCGCGAAGGCGUGGGGAGCAAACAGG
rnacentral:rRNA from 1 species